GAAGAUUUCUGGGGCUUUGGAGGGAAUCGUGAGCGGGCGGGAGGAGGCCGGGGACCACACAGAGAAUAACUUGUCUGAUUACCAGUAUUCUUGGAUGCAGAAGUGCUGAAGAUGAGCACACACACGUACGGAGAAUUUCUGGAGAAUUCAGCUGCUCAGAACAAGAACUGAGAUCCAGAGAGAUGAUGACUUUGCCCAUAGACCAAACAAAGAAAUACAUGUUUCAGUCCUGUGUCCUUCUGCUAUGUGUGUCCAGAAUUGGUGGGUUCUUGGUCUCACUGACUUCAAGAAUGAAGCCGCGGACCCUCACAGACCGUGUGUGAAUGCCUGCUCUGUGAGCCCUCAGAAUCUACUGGCCGAAUGAGUGCGUGAAGGAGGAAAUGUGCUCAGAGCUGCUGUGUGUCAUCCUGUGUUUGAAGUGCUCUUGCAGCUAUCAUUCGUCCUGUUAAGAAUUUGAAGAAGUGUGUGCACAAAGGAUGUACCAGACUAUUAAUGUUGGUGACCAUGGGCUAGGGCUAGGGAGUAUGUUCUUGAUAAAUUUACAAAAUCUUCCGAUCAACUACAGACUUUAAAAAUAUAACAAAUCAAUUUUUAAUAAAAUACUCUCUCUAUAUAUAUAUGUGUAUAUAUAUAUGCGUGUGUGUGUGUAUAUAUAUAUAU
rnacentral:antisense_RNA from 1 species